rnacentral:rRNA from 1 species
AAAUAGCUGGUUCUCUCCGAAAACUAUUUAGGUAGUGCCUCAAGUAUCACCAACGGGGGUAAAGCACUGUUAUGGCUAGGGGGUCAUCGCGACUUACCAAACCAUUGCAAACUCAGAAUACCGUUGAGUGAGAGCUUGGGAGACAGACAUCGGGUGCUAACGUCCGGUGUCGAAAGGGAAACAACCCAGACCGCCGAUUAAGGUCCCCAAGCCAUAGUUAAGUGGGAAACGAGGUGGGAAGGCUCAGACAGCCAGGAGGUUGGCUUAGAAGCAGCCAUCCUUUAAAGAAAGCGUAAUAGCUCACUGGUCGAGUCGUCCUGCGCGGAAGAUGUAACGGGGCUCAAACUAUGCACCGAAAUCGCGGAUAUCCGUAAGGAUAUGGUAGGAGAGCGUUCUGUAAGCCGAUGAAGGUGUCUUGAGAAGGAUGCUGGAGGUAUCAGAAGUGCGAAUGCUGACAUGAGUAGCGAUAAAGGGAGUGAAAAAGCUCCCCUCGCCAAAAGCCCAAGGUUUCCUGCGCAACGUUCAUCGGCGCAGGGUGAGUCGGCCCCUAAGGCGAGGCUGAAAAGCGUAGUCGAUGGGAAACAGGUCAAUAUUCCUGUACCUCUUUGUAAUGCGAUGGGGGGACGGAGAAGGUUAGGUCAGCCGGGUGUUGGACGUCCCGGUUCAAGCGUGUAGGCAGACCUCUUAGGCAAAUCCGGGGGGUCAAUGCUGAGGCGUGAUAACGAGUGGUCUUGUACCGCGAAGUGAUUGAUACCA